rnacentral:rRNA from 1 species
AUUGAACGCUGGCGGAAUGCUUUACACAUGCAAGUCGAACGGCAGCACGGACUUCGGUCUGGUGGCGAGUGGCGAACGGGUGAGUAAUGUAUCGGAACGUGCCCAGUCGUGGGGGAUAACGUAGUGAAAAUUACGCUAAUACCGCAUACGAUCCAUGCAUGAAAGCGGGGGAUCGGAAGACCUCGCGCCAUUGGAGCGGCCGAUAUGAGAUUAGGUAGUUGGUGGGGUAAAGGCCCACCAAGCCAACGAUGUGUAGCUGGUCUGAGAGGACGACCAGCCACACUGGAACUGAGACACGGUCCAGACUCCUACGGGAGGCAGCAGUGGGGAAUUUUGGACAAUGGGCGAAAGCCUGAUCCAGCCAUUCCGCGUGCAGGAUGAAGGCCCUCGGGGUGUAAACUGCUUUUGUACAGAACGAAAAGGUUUCUACUAAUACUAGGGGCUCAUGACGGUACUGUAAGAAUAAGCACCGGCUAACUACGUGCCAGCCGCCGCCGUAA